rnacentral:rRNA from 1 species
GACAGAGGUGCCGAGCGUUAGGCGGAAUCACUGGGCGUAAAGCGCACGUAGGCGGCCUCUUAAGUCGGUGGUGAAAUCCUGGAGCUCAACUCCAGAACUGCCUUCGAUACUGAGAGUCUCGAGUCCGGGAGAGGUGAGUGGAACUGCGAGUGUAGAGGUGAAAUUCGUAGAUAUUCGCAAGAACACCAGUGGCGAAGGCGGCUCACUGGCCCGGUACUGACGCUGAGGUGCGAAAGCGUGGGGAGCAAACAGG